CCUACGGGUGGCAGCAGUGAGGAAUAUUGGUCAAUGGACGAGAGUCUGAACCAGCCAAGUAGCGUGAAGGAUGACUGCCCUAUGGGUUGUAAACUUCUUUUAUAUGGGAAUAAAACAGGGUAUGCAUACCCACUUGUAUGUACCAUAUGAAUAAGGAUCGGCUAACUCCGUGCCAGCAGCCGCGGUAAUACGGAGGAUCCGAGCGUUAUCCGGAUUUAUUGGGUUUAAAGGGUGCGUAGGUGGAUUGUUAAGUCAGUUGUGAAAGUUUGGGGCUCAACCGUAAAAUUGCAGUUGAUACUGGCAGUCUAGAGUACAGUAGAGGUAGGCGGAAUUCGUGGUGUAGCGGUGAAAUGCUUAGAGAUCACGAAGAACUCCGAUUGCGAAGGCAGCUCACUGGACUGCAACUGACACUGAUGCUCGAAAGUGUGGGUAUCAAACAGGAUUAGAUACCCGAGUAGUC
rnacentral:rRNA from 1 species